UUGGACAGCCUUCUGAAAGGAAGAUUAAUACAAGAUGGCAUCAUGAGUCCGCAUGUUCACAUGAUUAAAGGUAUUCCGGUAGACGAUGGGGAUGCGUUCCAUUAGAUAGUAGGCGGGGUAACGGCCCACCUAGUCUUCGAUGGAUAGGGGUUCUGAGAGGAAGGUCCCCCACAUUGGAACUGAGACACGGUCCAAACUCCUACGGGAGGCAGCAGUGAGGAAUAUUGGUCAAUGGGCGAGAGCCUGAACCAGCCAAGUAGCGUGAAGGAUGACUGCCCUAUGGGUUGUAAACUUCUUUUAUAAAGGAAUAAAGUCGGGUAUGCAUACCCGUUUGCAUGUACUUUAUGAAUAAGGAUCGGCUAACUCCGUGCCAGCAGCCGCGGUAAUACGGAGGAUCCGAGCGUUAUCCGGAUUUAUUGGGUUUAAAGGGAGCGUAGAUGGAUGUUUAAGUCAGUUGUGAAAGUUUGCGGCUCAACCGUAAAAUUGCAGUUGAUACUGGAUAUCUUGAGUGCAGUUGAGGCAGGCGGAAUUCGUGGUGUAGCGGUGAAAUGCUUAGAUAUCACGAAGAACUCCGAUUGCGAAGGCAGCCUGCUAAGUUGCAACUGACAUUGAGGCUCGAAAGUGUGGGUAUCAAACAGGAUUAGAUACCCUGGUAGUCCACACGGUAAACGAUGAAUACUCGCUGUUUGCGAUAUACAGCAAGCGGCCAAGCGAAAGCGUUAAGUAUUCCACCUGGGGAGUA
rnacentral:rRNA from 1 species